UACGAAGGGGGCUAGCGUUGUUCGGAUUUACUGGGCGUAAAGCGCGUGUAGGCGGACUUGUAAGUUGGGGGUGAAAUCCCGAGGCUCAACCUCGGAACUGCCUCCAAAACUACAAGUCUGGAGCAAGAUAGAGGCAAGUGGAAUUGCGAGUGUAGAGGUGAAAUUCGUAGAUAUUCGCAGGAACACCAGUGGCGAAGGCGACUUGCUGGAUCUUUGCUGACGCUGAGACGCGAAAGCGUGGGGAGCGAACAGG
rnacentral:rRNA from 1 species